rnacentral:rRNA from 1 species
UAAGGAAUAUUGGACAAUGGACGCAAGUCUGAUCCAGCCAUGCCGCGUGAAGGAUGAAUGCCCUCUGGGUUGUAAACUUCUUUUAUAGGGGAAGAAAGAUACUUUUUUUAAGGUAGUUGACGGUACCCUAUGAAUAAGCACCGGCUAACUCCGUGCCAGCAGCCGCGGUAAUACGGAGGGUGCAAGCGUUAUCCGGAUUUCCUGGGUUUAAAGGGUGCGUAGGCGGGCAUGUAAGUCAGUGGUGAAAUACCGGAGCUUAACUUCGGAACUGCCAUUGAUACUAUAUAUCUUGAAUAUUGUGGAGGUAAGCGGAAUAUGUCAUGUAGCGGUGAAAUGCAUAGAUAUGACAUAGAACACCAAUUGCGAAGGCAGCUUACUACAUGGAAAUUGACGCUGAGGCACGAAAGCGUGGGGAUCAAACA